rnacentral:rRNA from 1 species
CCUGGCUCAGAUUGAACGCUGGCGGCAGGCCUAACACAUGCAAGUCGAGCGGAAACGAGUUAUCUGAACCUUCGGGGAACGAUAACGGCGUCGAGCGGCGGACGGGUGAGUAAUGCCUAGGAAAUUGCCCUGAUGUGGGGGAUAACCAUUGGAAACGAUGGCUAAUACCGCAUGAUGCCUACGGGCCAAAGAGGGGGACCUUCGGGCCUCUCGCGUCAGGAUAUGCCUAGGUGGGAUUAGCUAGUUGGUGAGGUAAGGGCUCACCAAGGCGACGAUCCCUAGCUGGUCUGAGAGGAUGAUCAGCCACACUGGAACUGAGACACGGUCCAGACUCCUACGGGAGGCAGCAGUGGGGAAUAUUGCACAAUGGGCGCAAGCCUGAUGCAGCCAUGCCGCGUGUGUGAAGAAGGCCUUCGGGUUGUAAAGCACUUUCAGUCGUGAGGAAGGCGGCGUCGUUAAUAGCGGCGUUGUUUGACGUUAGCGACAGAAGAAGCACCGGCUAACUCCGUGCCAGCAGCCGCGGUAAUACGGAGGGUGCGAGCGUUAAUCGGAAUUACUGGGCGUAAAGCGCAUGCAGGUGGUUUGUUAAGUCAGAUGUGAAAGCCCGGGGCUCAACCUCGGAAUAGCAUUUGAAACUGGCAGACUAGAGUACUGUAGAGGGGGGUAGAAUUUCAGGUGUAGCGGUGAAAUGCGUAGAGAUCUGAAGGAAUACCGGUGGCGAAGGCGGCCCCCUGGACAGAUACUGACACUCAGAUGCGAAAGCGUGGGGAGCAAACA